rnacentral:rRNA from 1 species
CCUACGGGGGGCAGCAGUGGGGAAUAUUGGACAAUGGGGGGAACCCUGAUCCAGCCAUGCCGCGUGUGUGAAGAAGGCCCUCGGGUUGUAAAGCACUUUCAGUGAGGAAGAACGCCUGGUGGUUAAUACCCAUCAGGAAAGACAUCACUCACAGAAGAAGCACCGGCUAACUCCGUGCCAGCAGCCGCGGUAAUACGGAGGGUGCGAGCGUUAAUCGGAAUUACUGGGCGUAAAGCGCGCGUAGGUGGCUUGAUAAGCCGGUUGUGAAAGCCCCGGGAUCAACCUGGGAACGGCAUCCGGAACUGUCAAGCUAGAGUGCAGGAGAGGAAGGUAGAAUUCCCGGUGUAGCGGUGAAAUGCGUAGAGAUCGGGAGGAAUACCAGUGGCGAAGGCGGCCUUCUGGACUGACACUGACACUGAGGUGCGAAAGCGUGGGUAGCAAACAGGAUUAGAUACCCCUGUAGUC